AGCUGUGGCAGUGAGAAAGAGACUCCUCAGCAGCCAAGCCUAAGGCGUAAGCAGAAGCUGUGACUGGGAGCCUGCAAAUGGGAGGACAUCAGCAGUAGAAAGUACUUUGCAGCUGGGUGAGCCGACCAGGGCAGAGAAGUCAAAGGAAAGCCACGGAGCCAGGACAAAGCUUAAUUAAAAAAUUCCAAGACGCUGAUAUCAGAGGACUUCCUCUUGUGACAAGGCAGCUGAUCAGCAGUGGCUGAGACAGGGAGCCCAGCAGCAGCUCUGGGGAAGAGUGGAAAUCACAUUUCCUGGAAACAAAGGAGAGAGAUAUCUCGCACAUUGCUUGCAUCUACCGUGGGAGGGAAGGCUGAAGAGGUGAAGGCUGGUGCUCAAGACUAGGAAAAGCACCGAAGGCGGAGAGAAGAACGUACUACUUAGUGCAGACAUCUGUCAGAUGGGACAUUUCACCCCCCUGGUGCCACACUUCCCCUCCUGCAGGGGGAGGACAACAACCUGUUGGGAUUCCCACAGGAAAGGGGCUGCGGAAGCGCCUCGUUAUCCUGAUGUAGAACAAUGCAGGCCAUCUCUGAACUGCCUACGCUGGGCCUGGAGACAGCAGCCCCCUCUUCCUCCUGCCCUGCACUGCUGAGGAGCAUUCCUCUGUCUGAUAAACAAGUUGUCUUGCUCUGUUCCGGUGGUAGCUGCCUUGUUUGGGCGUCUCGUCUGGAGAAGGCAUCAGCAGCACUGCAGGAUGAAAGGGGACACGAAGCAGUAGGAUGGACUCAUCCGCCACAGUACUUAACGUUUAAAGAAGAGCACUAUCUGCUGCGGGGUGAGCCCGAGCCUGGGGAUCAGGGUACAAUCUUCCCUCAGAAGUGAGCAAGCAUUACCGGGUGUGCUGGCUGCUGCCGGGCACUGCUGAAUGAGGAGCCGGAGCUGACAGCGUGCUAUUACACCCUGUCCAGCUCAGCCCUGCAGCCCUCAGGACAGGAGGCGCUCACCCAGCUUCAAAGCCACACGGCUCCAAUGCAGAGCCGGCAUAGGCGUGUUCGCAGCGGCGCAUUUCAUCUUUGAAGAAACUCACUACAGACUUUAAAGGCUGUAAAAUCUCCGGGCUGAUCGGAAUACGGGAUUGGAAUACAGCAACGUAGCAGGCACGCCACAAAGCUGCCCCGGGCUCUGGCACGACCACCUACCUGUUGUCCGUGCGAUGGCAGCCACCCAGCCAGCGCUGAGGCGUGCUGCUUGGCUCCCUGCUCCUACAGAGGGGCAAAGGCUCGCUUCUUAACCCCACUCGGGCCGAGCCCAGGACCGAGAGGUGUCUGUGCCGGGGGCAGAGGAGCCUCCCGCUUGCUGCAGAGGCAGGAGCUGCUGUCCCGUCCUGCUGCGCUCCUUGCAGCCAGCGAGCCGAAUGAUCUGAUCUACUGAUCCAGCGUCGGGGAGGGUCUGGGGGGUCUGCCGCCCCGUAAUCUCACUAAACGCG
ensembl:lncRNA